rnacentral:rRNA from 1 species
AACUUAGUGGCGGACGGGUGAGUAACGCGUGGGUAACCUGCCUCAUACAGGGGGAUAACACUUAGAAAUAGGUGCUAAUACCGCAUAAGCGCACAGUAUCGCAUGAUACAGUGUGAAAAACUCCGGUGGUAUGAGAUGGACCCGCGUCUGAUUAGCUAGUUGGUGAGGUAAGGGCCCACCAAGGCGACGAUCAGUAGCCGGCCUGANAGGGUGAACGGCCACAUUGGGACUGAGACACGGCCCAAACUCCUACGGGAGGCAGCAGUGGGGAAUAUUGCACAAUGGGGGAAACCCUGAUGCAGCGACGCCGCGUGAGUGAAGAAGUAUUUCGGUAUGUAAAGCUCUAUCAGCAGGGAAGAAAUGACGGUACCUGACUAAGAAGCCCCGGCUAACUACGUG